rnacentral:rRNA from 1 species
CGGGAGAUAGCUGGUUCUCCCCGAAAGCUAUUUAGGUAGCGCCUCGUGAAUUCAUCUCCGGGGGUAGAGCACUGUUUCGGCAAGGGGGUCAUCCCGACUUACCAACCCGAUGCAAACUGCGAAUACCGGAGAAUGUUAUCACGGGAGACACACGGCGGGUGCUAACGUCCGUCGUGAAGAGGGAAACAACCCAGACCGCCAGCUAAGGUCCCAAAGUCAUGGUUAAGUGGGAAACGAUGUGGGAAGGCCCAGACAGCCAGGAUGUUGGCUUAGAAGCAGCCAUCAUUUAAAGAAAGCGUAAUAGCUCACUGGUCGAGUCGGCCUGCGCGGAAGAUGUAACGGGGCUAAACCAUGCACCGAAGCUGCGGCAGCGACGCUUAUGCGUUGUUGGGUAGGGGAGCGUUCUGUAAGCCUGUGAAGGUGUGCUGUGAGGCAUGCUGGAGGUAUCAGAAGUGCGAAUGCUGACAUAAGUAACGAUAAAGCGGGUGAAAAGCCCGCUCGCCGGAAGACCAAGGGUUCCUGUCCAACGUUAAUCGGGGCAGGGUGAGUCGACCCCUAAGGCGAGGCCGAAAGGCGUAGUCGAUGGGAAACAGGUUAAUAUUCCUGUACUUGGUGUUACUGCGAAGGGGGGACGGAGAAGGCUAUGUUGGCCGGGCGACGGUUGUCCCGGUUUAAGCGUGUAGGCUGGUUUUCCAGGCAAAUCCGGAAAAUCAAGGCUGAGGCGUGAUGACGAGGCACUACGGUGCUGAAGCAACAAAUGCCCUGCUUCCAGGAAAAGCCUCUAAGCAUCAGGUAACAUCAAAUCGUACCCCAAACCGACACAGGUGGUCAGGUAGAGAAUACCAAGGCGCUUGAGAGAACUCGGGUGAAGGAACUAGGCAAAAUGGUGCCGUAACUUCGGGAGAAGGCACGCUGAUAUGUAGGUGAAGUCCCUCGCGGAUGGAGCUGAAAUCAGUCGAAGAUACCAGCUGGCUGCAACUGUUUAUUAAAAACACAGCACUGUGCAAACACGAAAGUGGACGUAUACGGUGUGACGCCUGCCCGGUGCCGGAAGGUUAAUUGAUGGGGUCAGCGCAAGCGAAGCUCUUGAUCGAAGCCCCGGUAAACGGCGGCCGUAACUAUAACGGUCCUAAGGUAGCGAAAUUCCUUGUCGGGUAAGUUCCGACCUGCACGAAUGGCGUAAUGAUGGCCAGGCUGUCUCCACCCGAGACUCAGUGAAAUUGAACUCGCUGUGAAGAUGCAGUGUACCCGCGGCAAGACGGAAAGACCCCGUGAACCUUUACUAUAGCUUGACACUGAACAUUGAGCCUUGAUGUGUAGGAUAGGUGGGAGGCUUAGAAGUGUGGACGCCAGUCUGCAUGGAGCCGACCUUGAAAUACCACCCUUUAAUGUUUGAUGUUCUAACGUUGACCCGUAAUCCGGGUUGCGGACAGUGUCUGGUGGGUAGUUUGACUGGGGCGGUCUCCUCCUAAAGAGUAACGGAGGAGCACGAAGGUUGGCUAAUCCUGGUCGGACAUCAGGAGGUUAGUGCAAUGGCAUAAGCCAGCUUGACUGCGAGCGUGACGGCGCGAGCAGGUGCGAAAGCAGGUCAUAGUGAUCCGGUGGUUCUGAAUGGAAGGGCCAUCGCUCAACGGAUAAAAGGUACUCCGGGGAUAACAGGCUGAUACCGCCCAAGAGUUCAUAUCGACGGCGGUGUUUGGCACCUCGAUGUCGGCUCAUCACAUCCUGGGGCUGAAGUAGGUCCCAAGGGUAUGGCUGUUCGCCAUUUAAAGUGGUACGCGAGCUGGGUUUAGAACGUCGUGAGACAGUUCGGUCCCUAUCUGCCGUGGGCGCUGGAGAACUGAGGGGGGCUGCUCCUAGUACGAGAGGACCGGAGUGGACGCAUCACUGGUGUUCGGGUUGUCAUGCCAAUGGCACUGCCCGGUAGCUAAAUGCGGAAGAGAUAAGUGCUGAAAGCAUCUAAGCACGAAACUUGCC